GAUGAACGCUAGCUACAGGCUUAACACAUGCAAGUCGAGGGACCGGCGCACGUGUGAGUAACACGUAUCCAACCUGCCCUUUACUCGGGGAUAGCCUUUCGAAAGAAAGAUUAAUACCCGAUAUAAAGGAUGGGGAUGCGUUCCAUUAGGUGGUUGGUGAGGUAACGGCUCACGAAGCCUUCGAUGGAUAGGGGUUCUGAGAGGAAGGUCCACCACAUUGGAACUGAGACACGGUCCAAAACCCGACGGGAGGCAGCAGUAAGGAAUAUUGGUCACGGGGGGCUGGCGUGAACCUGCCAAGUAGCGUGAAGGAUGAAUGCUUAUGGGACGUAAACUUCUUGUAUAUAAGAAUCUGUAUUAUAUGAAUAAGGAUCGGCUAACUCCGUGCCAGCAGCCGCGGUAAUUC
rnacentral:rRNA from 1 species